rnacentral:rRNA from 1 species
GAGGAGAAUCAUCCGCAAUGGGCGCAAGCCUGACGGUGCGACGCCGCGUGGGGGAUGAAGGCCUUCGGGUCGUAAACCCCUGUCAGAGGCUCCGAAUGGGUGGGGGGUGAACAGCCCCUCGCCGUGACUAGCCUCAGAGGAAGGGACGGCUAACUUCGUGCCAGCAGCAGCGGUAAUACGGAGGUCCCGAGCGUUGUUCGGAUUCACUGGGCGUAUAGGGCGUGUAGGCGGGCCGGUAAGUCCGGGAUGAAACACCUUGGCUCAACCAGGGUACUGUGCCGGAUACUGUCGGUCUUGAGUGCAGCAGAGGAGAGUGGAACUCCCGGUGGAGCGGUGAAAUGCGUAGAUAUCGGGAGGAACGCCGGAGGCGAAAGCGAUUCUCUGGGCUGCUACUGACGCUGAGGCGCGAAAGCCAGGGGAGCAAACGGGAUUAGAAACCCCGGUAGUCC